rnacentral:rRNA from 1 species
UGGGGAAUUGUUCGCAAUGGGCGCAAGCCUGACGACGCAACGCCGCGUGGAGGAUGAAGAUUUUCGGAUCGUAAACUCCUGUCGAAUGGGACGAACAGAUCGCGGGUUAACAGCCCGCAAUCCUGACGGUACCGUUAAAGGAAACCCCGGCUAACUUCGUGCCAGCAGCCGCGGUAAUACGAAGGGGGCUAGCGUUGUUCGGAAUUACUGGGCGUAAAGGGCGCGUAGGCGGCCGUUUAAGUUAGGUGUGAAAGUCCUGGGCUCAACCUGGGGACUGCACUUAAUACUGGAUGGCUUGAAUUCGGGAGAGGAUAGCGGAAUUCCCAGUGUAGAGGUGAAAUUCGUAGAUAUUGGGAAGAACACCGGUGGCGAAGGCGGCUAUCUGGACCGACAUUGACGCUGAGGCGCGAAAGCGUGGGGAGCAAA